CGUGGCCCAGCGGAGAGCAGGCGUUAGCACCCUCACUCUCCCCUCACUCUUCUUCAUUCUCCCCUCAUCCUCCGGGGAAGGCGGAGGUCGCCCCACUCCCCUCCCUCCCUCUCUGCCUCUCUCCUUCCUAAAAAGAGUGGCCGUCGAGGGAGCGAGGCGGCGCGGUGAUUGGCAGACGGAGGGUCACCACCAACCAAUGAGAGCCUGAGUUUCCCUUACGUCAUCCCUUAGCGACGGAGAGUGACGCAAACCUCCUCCAUUAUCCACCUCUUACGUAUUUUUCCCUUUAUAGACCCAAUUUUCAUCCCUGUGUUGUCCUGUGAACCACCCUCUCUGUGUCCCAAUAACAAGUCGACCACAGCUCUAAAAAAAAAAAGGCUAUUCUGUGUUUUCUUCAAUUCAAUCAACAUCCUUGUGAACUAAUUCUCGGUGUUUUCGAUAGCAAAUUCGUUAUCUCAGUGUCUGUAUGUUUGUCCGUGUUCUGUGUUUGUCUGUGUACAUAUACCGUUGUUUAAGAUUCUCCUCUGUGUGUUGCUGUGUGAAUUGGGGGGUUGGGAUCUGUACGUCGUCUAUCUAGUCUGUGUUGGUUUGUGUUCGUCUACUCCGGUGUCUGUGUCAAGUGUCCGUGCAAGGAAAAGUGUGCGUGUCUGUGUCGUGCUGUGCCUCGUGUGUGCUGUGCGUUCCUCGCUGUGCUGGUGCUCGUCUUUCGUCGUGUCCGUGUGGGAAAACAAAAUAAAGAAAAGUAGUUUGUUUUGUGAGUUGGAAAAGGAACGAAGGAGAAAAAAAAAACAGAUAAGACGUUAAAAGGAAAAAAAAAAGUCGUUGUUCUUUUCGCUACAGAAGUCGACAAUUUUAACAAGAAAAAAAACUAAACCAAAAUCAAAAAACACACACCGAGAAAAGGGAAAAAUUAAAAUAAAAGAAACCCAAAACAGAAACUGAAGGAAACACGAGAUUUUAAGAGGGACAAAAAACAAAAAAAGAACUCAUUACUGGCCUCAAGUGAAAAUCGGUGCCUGACAAACUCCAACGAAUAAGACGGAAAUAAAACAGAACAAACCACUAACUUUAACGAGCCACAAAUAGCAGGAAAAUCGUGACUGAGAGCAAGCGAGCGAGUGAGCAAACGACUGACUGGCGGCCCAAGUGCGUGGAGGACCGAGGACGAGGGAACAGGAAAAGCAACGAAGCAUCAACAGAAAAGAUUAAAACAACAGAGAAAAAACAGAAAAAGGGAAAAAAAACAGAAGUGAGGACGAAGCAUUAACAGAAGCAUUAACGGAAAAGAAUAAAACAACAGAAUAAACAGAAAACACGAAAAAUAACGAAGAAUUAACAGAAGAGAAAACAAAAACAGAGAAUAAACAGAAAAAGGGAAAAAAACAGAAGUGAGGACGAAGCAUUAACAGAAAAGAAUAAAACAACAGAAUAAACAGGAAACACGAAAAAUAACGAAGAAUUAACAGAAAAGAAAACAAAAACAGAGAAUAAACAGAAAAAGGGAAAAAAAACAGAAGUGAGGACGAGGGAACACGAAAAGCAACGAAGCAUCAACAGAAAAGAAUAAAACAACGAAGAAUAAAAAGAAAAAGAAAAAAAAAGAAGAAUUGAGGGCGAGGGAACACGAAAAACAACGAAGAGUAAACAGAAAAGAACAAAACAACAACAAAUAAACAAAUAAAUCGCAAACACUUGACUUAAUAAAGGAAACGAAAGAAAAAAAAGAACUAUUAAAAAAAGAAGAACAGAGGGAAUAACAUAAUUAGCAUGUUAAUCAGAUACACUUGACUUUGAAUGGAAAAAAAGGUAACGUCAUAAAGAGAGAAAAGGGGAAAUAUAGGAACACAAAGGAGAAAAAAUAAACAAUGAACACUUAAACCAAUAACGCUGGACUUGAUGGGAAACUAUUGUGAAGAAGAAAGAAAAAAAGAAACAAAGAAACGAAGAAGGCAAAUCAAAAAUAAGUAACCAAAUAAAAGAGU